GAAAAUUCUAGGUAUGUUUUCCAACACACCUACUAUGUUACGACUUAUCUCACGUUGAAAGUGAGAGCGACGGGCGAUGUGUACAUAUUUUAGAGCUACUAUCAGGCUGCCGUAUUAAAACAACCUUACUAUUAAAUCCACCUUCCAGACAGAAAUACCUCUACCCAUUCGUCUCAACAUAUUACAAUGUAACCCAUUGCCCGCUCUUCUAUAGGCUGCACCUUGACCUAAUAUAUUAACUCAAACUAUUAAAACAAAUUUUUAUAAAACUAUCUAAUAAUGGCGGUAUACAAACUGAACUACAAAGAAGAGUAAGAUCAUUCGUGGAAUAUCGUUUACGGAACAGGUUCCUCUAACAAGACUAAAAUACCGCCAAAUUCUUUAAGUUUAAAGAACAUAACUAUUUACUACUCAAGUCACUAACUUUAAUUAAAGUAUAGCAGGGUAUCUAAUCCUGUUUUAUACCAAAAACUUAAUAGCUUCAAAAUAAUUUUACACAAAGCUAAAUUACACCUGAGCAACCAAAUUUCACCUCUCACUCUUAUAAAAAAACCCCACAUAAAAAUAAACUCUAACUAUAAACUUAUAAAUCCCUGCUUACCCUGUAAGUCUAACCGCGGCUGCUGGCACAAAUUUAGCCCGAACUUUUAAGAUCACUAAGUAAAACCUAAUCCAUAUCCUAAUUACUCACACUGAGAACUCCAACAAACUAAUUUAUAGCUUCUAAUCCCACGAAUUAACUUACAUGUGCAUCGACCAAAUAGCAGGCACCGAGCAAGAAUCAAACUUU
rnacentral:rRNA from 1 species